rnacentral:rRNA from 1 species
GACGAACGCUGGCGGCGUGCUUAACGCAUGCAAGUCGAACGGAAAGGCCCUGCUUGCAGGGUGCUCGAGUGGCGAACGGGUGAGUAACACGUGGGUGAUCUGCCCCUUACUUUGGGAUAAGCCUGGGAAACUGGGUCUAAUACUGGAUAGGACCAUGCUGUAGGUGGUGUGGUGGAAAGAUUAGUUUCGGUAAGGGAUGAGCUCGCGGCCUAUCAGCUUGUUGGUGGGGUAAUGGCCUACCAAGGCGUCGACGGAUAGCCGGCCUGAGAGGGUGGACGGCCACAUUGGGACUGAGAUACGGCCCAGACUCCUACGGGAGGCAGCAGUGGGGAAUAUUGCACAAUGGGCGCAAGCCUGAUGCAGCGACGCCGCGUGGGGGAUGACGGCCUUCGGGUUGUAAACUCCUUUCAGCCAUGACGAAGCCCUUGUGGUGACGGUAGUGGUAGAAGAAGCACCGGCUAACUACGUG